GGGGUCGUGUCCCGAGCGGCAAAGGGGGCGGGCUGUAAACCCGCUGGCGUAAGCCUUCGCAGGUUCGAGUCCUGCCGGCCCCA
rnacentral:tRNA from 2 species